rnacentral:rRNA from 1 species
GGGCUUACACAAGCGGUGGAGCAUGUGGUUUAAUUCGAAACAACGCGCAAAACCUUACCAAUCCUUGACAUAUGAAAAACCAGGGUGUUUACCCGCUCUGUCUCUUUUAUACAGGUGCUGCAUGGCUGUCGUCAGUUCGUGGUGUGAGCUGUUGGGUUAAGUCCCAGAACGAACGCAACCCUCCUUUGAAAUGAAGGUUUACCUUUUUCAAAGACUGCCAAGGAUAUCUUGGAGGAAGGUGAGGAUGACGUCAAGUCCGCAUGGCCCUUAUGGGUUGGGCUACACACGUGCUACAAUGGGAAUGACAAUGGGUUCCGAAGCCGCGAGGUGUAGGCAAUCCCAUCAAAGCGGGCCCCAGUUCGGAUUGCAGGCUGAAAUUCGCCUGCAUG